AUACCCCUGGAAGAGGAAUUCCUGACCCGCUUCACGGACACCCUUGUCUCACACGGGGGGCUGACUCUGGAUAAAAGAUUAGUCUUCAGCCUGGGAAGUGCUCUGGCCAGCUGAGAGAGCUAUGUGAGGAGGAAACUGUCCUGGAUUUGCUCAUUCCCCACAGCGCCAACAGAGUGCUGAGAACACAAAAGGCAAGUGGGUGAAUGAUGGAGAAUAAUGGGACAACUACACACAGGACACAUGCUGAGCAGGAAGGGAAAUCCUUCUGACUUCUGGGAACAGAAGGGGCAGCAGGAGCUGUGAGCCUGAGCCAGGCCCUCCUGCUACUUCCUCAAAAUGGACAGAAGGAACCAGCUUUCUCGGGAAACAGGGCUGCUUAGCAAGAGGCCUCGGACCUGCCAUGGGAUGGAAGUAGCAAGAAAAACAAAGCAUGUCUGAGACCGAGGAUGCGAGUCAAGAAGAAGCUGAACUUGGCAGACCAGAUUCACAAAUCCAGGAUCUAGAAAUUUCCAAGUUUCUGUAAGAGGAAUGAAACCCAGCUCUGCAGUCACACGUGCCUGUGAUUUAUCUCCCCUCAACAACAUAGCCGUCUAGGAUCCCACAGAUGCUGCUUUCAAGGAACUUCAGAGGGUUCCUAGGAAAAGUUUGUUUCAAACUGAUGAAACCCCAAAUAUAUUGGAGAUCAAUAAUUUAAAGUGUCAGUAAGAUAAAAUGUUAAGAUAAGAAAAGAAUAUGGCCAAGUCAGCCAUACCUGGUGUCCAGCGAUGCUGAGGCUGCCACGCCUCUGGCAGCACACAUUGUCCAGAGUCAUGGUUAAUGAUGACAGGACCUGAGUCCUGUGAUCUAAGGUGGUGGACCCUGUAUACUCAUAGGUCUGUUCUGCGGCAGAAUUUUUUUUUUGAGGUUCUGGAAAUUUAACCUCCCUUUGUUUUUCCACCUUCUGAGCUUGGAUCUCCAGCUUCCACGGUAAUUUUAUGAGCUACCAAACGAUCAUUCAGACAAUUGAUUUUCUGGUUGAAUGAGAAUCAGUUUCUGUUAUUUCUAACUUAGACUGGACAGAGUUAUUGCAUAAAAUUCAACAAGUCAAAACAUAUUAGGUGGUUAUAAAACUAGGAUUGAAAAAAUAAUAAUUUCCACUUACGGCCAAAAAUGGAAUUUAUAGCAACAAGAUUUAUUCUCACACUUUAAGGAACUAGAAAACUGGACAAAAUGCAAAGAACAGGGGUUUUCACUCACCAAACAGGCAGUGCGAGGCUGCGAUCCCACGGAGAAGGGAACAAGGUGGGCCCCACAGCUGCACCCACUGACUGCCUGGAUGCAGUUUCCAGGCCUCAGCACAGGGAGGGCUAGCCCAAACCGGAGCCAGUUAUCUUGAUGAGUGGAAAGAGACAGAAAUCAGAGCUCAGAGAGACCCAGGUGACUAGGAUUUGUGGGGCAGAGUACUAGAGAGAAGAGAGCUGCACAGUGAGAGCUCUGGUGAUCUUAAAAGGGUCCCUGUGAAUCUUUAACCAAAUUCUGAUCUGUAUAUGCAUAAAGAAAACUUCCUUGAUGCCAGGGAAAGGACAAGAUAAUCACUGAAGCACAGAGUUAACACAGUUUGUAUUGCCUCCAGUCAUAGUGGAAA
ensembl:lncRNA